rnacentral:rRNA from 1 species
GUGGGGAAUUUUGGACAAUGGGGGCAACCCUGAUCCAGCCAUGCCGCGUGCGGGAAGAAGGCCUUCGGGUUGUAAACCGCUUUUGUCAGGGAAGAAAUCCUUUGGGUUAAUACCUCGGAGGGAUGACGGUACCUGAAGAAUAAGCACCGGCUAACUACGUGCCAGCAGCCGCGGUAAUACGUAGGGUGCGAGCGUUAAUCGGAAUUACUGGGCGUAAAGCGUGCGCAGGCGGUUUUGUAAGAUCGAUGUGAAAUCCCCGGGCGCAACCUGGGAACUGCAUUGGUGACUGCAAGGCUGGAGUGCGGCAGAGGGGGAUGGAAUUCCGCGUGUAGCAGUGAAAUGCGUAGAUAUGCGGAGGAACACCGAUGGCGAAGGCAAUCCCCUGGGCCUGCACUGACGCUCAUGCACGAAAGCGUGGGGAGCAAACAGGAUUAGAAACCCCAGUAGUCC